rnacentral:rRNA from 1 species
AACGUAGGUUCCGAGCGUUAUCCGGAUUUACUGGGCGUAAAGCGCGUUCAGGCGGUUUGGCAAGUCGGGCAUGAAAUCUCUCGGCUCAACCGGGAGAGGUUGUCCGAUACUGCUGGACUUGAGGGCAGUAGAGGGUGGUGGAAUUCCGGGUGUAGUGGUGAAAUGCGUAGAGAUCCGGAGGAACCCCAGAGGCGAAGGCGGCCCCCUGGCUCGUACCUGACGCUCAGCCACGAAAGCAUGGGGAGCGAACGGG